rnacentral:rRNA from 1 species
UUCCAGCACCCCGAGUGGUCGGGACGAUUAUUGUGCCUAAAGCAUCCGUAGCCGGUUCUGCAAGUCCCCCGUUAAAUCCAGCUGCUCAACAGAUGGGCCGCGGAGGAUACUACAGAGCUAGGAGGCAGGAGAGGCAAGCGGUACUCAGUGGGUAGGGGUAAAAUCCGUUGAUCCAUUGAAGACCACCAGUGGCGAAGGCGGCUUGCCAGAAUGCGCUCGACGGUGAGGGAUGAAAGCUGGGGGAGCAAACCGG